rnacentral:rRNA from 1 species
UUAAAUGUAAAUAAAAAGCUAAGUGAUUAAUAGUUAAGUUCUUUAAAGCUAAAUAAUUUGGCGGUAUUUUAUACUUUUCAGAGGAACCUGUUCUAUAAUUGAUAAUCCACGAUUAAAUUAACUUUAAUUAGAAGCUUUUAUAUCAUCGUUGUUAAGUAUUUUAUAAGAAUUAAAUAUUUAAGAUUUUAAAUAAGAAAAUAAAUCAGAUCAAGGUGAAGCUUAUAUUAAAGAAGAAAUGGGUUACAUUAAAUUUUAUUUAUGAAUUUUAAAUUUGAAAGGUUUUAUGAAAUUGGAUUUGAGAGUAAUUAAUUAAUAUAUUUUUUUAAUGAUUUAGUUCUAAAAUAUGC